ensembl:lncRNA
GUUCGGGCGGAGCUUGUAUGCCGGCGACCGGCAACCGGGACUCCCGGGGCUCCAGUGUUGCAGGUGGUUGGGUUCCGGCUUGGCGGCCCCCGAACCUGAGGACGUAGGCGGAGCGAGCUUGUCGGCGCGUGAUUGGAGAGGCGGCUGCUCUUUCGUGGAGUUCUGCGGCCUUAGGGUGUAGGGAAUAAUGUUUUCUACCAUGACUGUAGUUAUUAGCAUGUGCUACAUUCCCAGGUAUCUCUGGAUCUACUUUGGAUGGUAUUCACUUGUGUACUGUUGCAAGUAUACACACCAUAUUGUUUCAUUUACUAUAGUUUUACAAUAUGUUUUAAAAUUUGGUAGGGCCAGAUCCUCUUCAUCUUUUUUCAGAAAAUUUCUGGCUAUUUUGUAUGUUUGUUUUUCUUUUUAAAUGAAUGAUAGAAUUAAUCUAGUUUUUAAACGUCUCUUUUUUUUUUUUUUUUUUGGAUCAUAGGUUGCUUUCAAAGCAUGUAUUACUUUUCAAGUAAAACAUAUGUUUAAUAGGUAGAAUAUUCAAGUUAAUGCAAUAGAAGUGGAGCUAGUGAAAGGCCAAGGGGUUAGAGGCAUUUCUGACAGAAUUUCAAAAUAUAUGCUACAUAGUUACCAUUUAUAGACUAGGAGUCUGAAGAGCUCAAGAAAAUUCCAGAAUAGGGGCAGGUUUUGUAUGAGGAGGUGGAGUAAUAAUACUGAUUUGGGGUAAUGUUUUUCCUUUGUUGGCCACUCAUUCUUUGAGUGUCUACUUUGUGGCCGAGUACUGUGCUUAGAGUAAAUAGACACAUGAAAAGAGAAGGCCCCUCCAAAGAUUUCCUUCCCAGUGAAGAGACAAACAUACACCAGCACACAUAAGGUACACAGUGUACUGAAAACCUAGAAUGGUAUAUAUGAUCUCAGUUCC